UACGAAGGGGGCGAGCGUUGUUCGGAUUUACUGGGCGUAAAGGGCGCGCAGGCGGCUUUGUUUGUCAGGCGUGAAAGCCCCGGGCUUAACCUGGGAACUGCGUUUGAUACGGCAGGGCUAGAGUUCGGGAGAGGAGAGUGGAAUUCCCAGUGUAGAGGUGAAAUUCGUAGAUAUUGGGAAGAACACCGGUGGCGAAGGCGGGUCUCUGGGCAACAACUGACGCUGAGGAGCGAAAGCGUGGGGAGCGAACAGG
rnacentral:rRNA from 1 species